CCCAAGAAAAUUCACUAUUAGGCCCUUGAAAAAAGACUACUAGAAACUUAUUAGUCCUUAAAACAUCCACAAAAUGAAGAGUUAAGGGGUCUCACAGAACCCAUAAACUCCCAGAAGCCCCUAGAGCAUCAACACCCAAAAAUUUGACUGCACCAUGACCCCACAUAUCCUUAACUAAAGCAAACGAAUGAGCUACAGAGUUUGUUUUUUGCAAAAUAACAACCUCAGGCCUAAACUUCUGAAUUAAAAGCUUAACAUCAUUCCUACAUUUGGGAUCACCCAAACCUCUAACAUUCCAUGAAAGUAUAAACAUUACGGAUUAAAAGUCGAACCUGGCCCCUCCAAGAAGGAAACCCUAUCAGCCUCGUCCAAUAUGAGAACUGCCUCGUUCUGAUCACCAUUCGUUCAGUCACCUCUAAUUUCUACAAUCGCACCUUCAUUAAGC
rnacentral:lncRNA from 1 species